rnacentral:rRNA from 1 species
UACGGAGGGGGCUAGCGUUGUUCGGAAUUACUGGGCGUAAAGGGCGCGUAGGCGGCCUUCUAAGUCGAACGUGAAAUCCCCGGGCUCAACCCGGGAACUGCGUCCGAUACUGGGAGGCUUGAAUCCGGGAGAGGGAUGUGGAAUUCCAGGUGUAGCGGUGAAAUGACGUAGAUAUCUGGAGGAACACCGGUGGCGAAGGCGGCAUCCUGGACCGGUAUUGACGCUGAGGCGCGAAAGCCAGGGGAGCAAACGGG